CCGGGAAUACGAGGUGUCAUCAUCGACAAGCGACAAUAUUUCAUUGCCAUCCACUCGGAGCCAGAAACCGUCUAUCGCAAAACAAAUUUCAUUUCACUGAAUGAAAACCGCAUCGUUUCUUGAUUGAUUAUUCGAAAAUAGUAUCAGCCGGGUGGUUCAGUGUCGAUAGUAUAGUUUAAAUUCCGUGGUGCUGCCCAUACUACAGCCUCAAGAUGCCGAUGACCACAGCGAAUGAUAUCGCGAUGCAACAAUUUCAUCUAUCGCUGUCUAAGCACGCCCUCAACACUACCGAUAAAGUGCCAAUGGAUCAGCAAUCCCUCUAAAGUAAAUGUCGGAGCACUGCUUCAUCAACAUAAAAUGAUGCCACAUUGCAGCUCAUUCAUCGUAUGGAAAUUUUUAGCUACCCUUAACAUGUGAAAUUUUUAGCUACCCUUAACAUGUGUGCCGUCAUCAUGAGGAACCGUCCGAACCAUUUAGAACCGGAAUUUUAACACCACCACCGGAAACACCAAAACCAUGUUGUCCAGUGGCAUGUUGCGUAUCAUUAAGCGCCACUCCAUAAGCCUCCGAAUCAUGAUUAUCAACGCACGUUAGUCUUUUGUAAGUGCAAUUGUACAUCCUUUGAAGAUCGACAGCCAUUGCACGAGCUCAUGUACCCAAUUGAGUUCAUUUUAUGUAUUACCAGACAAAGGCCGGAGUGGCCUGUGCAGUGCAUAGAAAGUCUUCUGCAUUCUGAACGGUCCAUGGCUGCACGUCGCCAACCACGCAGUGAACAUAUACUGAAUACUGCAGUAGAAAAAUGAUAAUAAAAUCUUGAAAAUUAUGACGUCUUCCUCUCAUAAAGCAUUCAAAUAAACAUAACAAAACAAUCCAGUUUAGAUAUCUUAAUUAGGAAGACUUGAUCUAAGACAAAUUAAUAGCAACACUACAUAACUGAAAUAAUAAGCGAUGUUACUUAAUAGAUUUGAAAUCUUUAGCAUCACUUUUCAAAGAAAUUUUCACAUAAGAGAGUAUAAUCUAUGGGUAUGCGGUAUGGUCUACCUAGGAUUAUAAUACGGAACAGGGAAAACCUGAGAAAUUCAAUAAUAAAUUCAUGUUAAAGACACAGUAGCGGUAGGUGGUGACCGCCUUUGAUGGUUCUCUGAGAUGUUCUUGAAGAAACUGCACCCAUCCAAGAGUAAGGCUUCCCUGAUGGAAACCGGAGGACAUAGCGAAUAUGAGGGCUAUAACGAAAUAGCAAUGUGAGCAGCUAUUGGCGGAUGUUAUGUCUUGUGGUCGACUCCUGACCCUGGAUGAAAAAGAAAACUUCUCGUUCAUCUCAGAAUGUUGGUUGUUAUGGUGAGAGAAUCUUAGUCAAUAUAAGAACUCCAAAUCCGGAAUUUUCACUUCUUGCAGAAUGAAGAGGAUAUUGAACUAAAGCCUAUUCGUUACUGCCGUUUUGGAACCUCAUCUUAGUUCCGCACUCUUUACUCCAGUAGAUCGUCCUUCAGGUAGGCCUCGAACUUUAUAU